rnacentral:rRNA from 1 species
GACAGUGUCAGGCGGGGAGUUUGACUGGGGCGGUACAUCUGUUAAAUAAUAACGCAGGUGUCCUAAGGUUAGCUCAGUGAGGACAGAAACCUCACGUAGAGUAAAAGGGCAAAAGCUAACUUGAUCUAUGACCUUCAGUACUGGUAUAGACCGCGAAAGCGUGGCCUAUCGAUCCUUUUGUUGUUCUUAAACGGUUGACAGUUUCAAGCAAGAGGUGUCAGAAAAGUUACCACAGGGAUAACUGGUAGCGCUAAGGCUUAAUGUGGUUGUCGCAAGGCAAUCAAUUUACAAACAUUAGGCGGUGCAGCGUUACAAACUUUGGUGUUGAGUAGUGUCAAUGUAAUGUUAUAGUUUCGGCUAUAUAUAUUGCUUUUGGCCUAGCGUACAAGUCCCAUUGACUUGGGCCUAUUCUUGAGAUGUCUACGGGUUUGGGGCAACUUGGAUCCGUGGAUGAGCCAUAUAGGGUGAAAGUCCCUUAAUGCGCAGGUAUUGAUACUGCGAACCAGAGCAGUGGCGUCUGGUAAAACAGGCGUUGCGAUUUGUUAGAGUCGGGUUGCUUGAGAGUGCAACCUAAAGAGCGAGGUAAACUGCUCGUAAGGCUAUGUAAAUACGGCUACGACACCGAUAGCAAACAAGUACCGUGAGGGAAAGUUGCAAAGUACUUUGAAGAGAGAGUUAAACAGGGCGUGAAACCGCUAGCUGGUAAAACCCGUCUUGAAACACGGACCAAGGAGUGUAGGAGGGUUGUGUUGGUAGCGUUGAAGGCUAUGAGGGAGUGAUCCUGGCUGGAGCUGCCAAUAGUACAGAUCUUGGUGGUAGUAGCAAAUACUCAAGUGAGACCCUUGAGGGCCAAUGUGGAGAAGGGUUCCAUGCUAACAGCAAUUGGACAUGGGUCAGUCGGUGAAUUAGGUUAAUAUUCCUAAACCAAGAUGGGGAGAUGGCACGGACCACGGGAAUCCGACUGUCUAAUUAAAACAAAGCAUUGCGAUGGCCUAAGAUUGUGGUGUUGACGCAAUGUGAUUUCUGCCCAGUGCUAUGAAUGUCACAGUGAAGAAAUUCAUCUAAGCGCUAGUAACGGCGGGAGUAACUAUGACUCUCUUGUGGUAGCCAAAUGCCUCGUCAUCUAAUUAGUGACGCGCAUGAAUGGAUUAACGAGAUUCCCACUGUCCCUAUCUACUACCUAGCGAAACCACAGCCAAGGGAACGGGCUUGGCAAAAUCAGCGGGGAAAGAAGACCCUGUUGAGCUUGACUCUAGUCUGGCUUUACGCGGAGUAUGUGUUUGUGGCGUUAAAACCAUAAAUACAUGCGUUGCGAGUGGAGCCACGAAGUCGUUUCGUAGAAUACGAGAUGCAAAUUCAGCUAAGAUCCAAAAAGGUCUUGGCGUAUUUUUGCUUGUCUCGCUAUUGUAAGCGUACACUGCAACCAAUUAGACGGUCAAUCGUGGAAACAGUUUGCAUGUUAACUUGGAAACUUGUUGCUUGUAAACGAAAACAUUUAUGUAUUUAUAGUAGGUAGCCUGAUUGAAGUUUCGGCUUUUUUUUGGGUGUAUGACUUGUAAAUGCGUGAACUACGAUUGAGUACUGAUUGGCAAAAUGAAAAUCGAGUCGAAAGAUUCGUGAAAUCAUAUAAAGCGGCUAAUAUCGUAUUUGGGUACAAUUGCUCGCUGCUAGUAUAAGCUUGGUAUUUUUGAAUUCAGGCACGUAUAUUGUCAAUAGGCUUGCUUGUUGAUAUAUGCGCUGUUUCCUGUCUAAUCGGGUAUUAACUUUGCUGGUAGUUUGAUGUGAUUGCUAUGAUAGCACUGAAUGCGAUAAUUAGUUUGCAAGUAUUGGCAGUGAGUAGGUCGGCUUUCCACACGCGUUGAGUUAUUGAUUCGUAUAAUAUGCGAUUAGUUAUGAUUCAACGCCUAAGAGAAUGGCGAAAGCUAUUUCUGAAUCAAAGGCGGUGUAUACAAAACACAUAUAAAUACAACUGGUUUGUUGCUUUAAGCUUUUAUCUUUGUACUAAAAGCAUUUUUGAAUAAAUUUUGCAAAAUAAACUCAGAUAUUAAUGCAAAUUAUAAUAAAGGCGCAAUCCAUUUAAGUGUAUUAUGAUCACUGUAUGACUCGAAAGGUGCUUAUUGUGCGGUUAUUCAUUUAGCUGUGCAAUUAGCAUUGGCGGUAACGCAAACAAGGCUCUGAGGAUCGAGUUGGUCGGGCUGUAUGCGAGAUACUUUCAUGAGUUUGUAUCUAUGCUGGACUUGAAUUGUGUUUUAAGCAUUUCGGUGUUUGAAGCCGGUUUAGGAUCGGCAUGGAUCGCUCGUUUGUUGAUUGCUACAGCUACGUUGGUAGUGUUUGAUUACAGGAAACUGUAGUUGAAUAUUAUCGUUAAAAAGCGUCAUCGGCUAACAACUAACGAUCGAAUCAGAACUCAAGCUCUCGCAGAAAUGUGAAUCAGUUUCAUCUGGUAAAGCGAAUGAUUAGAGGCCUUGGGAGCGAAACGCUCUCAACCUAUUCUCAAACUUUAAAUGGGUGAGAUGUACGACGUACUUAAUUGACGCCGUAUAAUUUUACAGAAUGUAUUGAGAGCUUAGUGGGCCAUUUUUGGUAAGCAGAACUGGCGAUGCGGGAUGAACCGAAAGUGAAGUUAAGGUUGCCGAUAAUGGUGCUAACAAAUUUGCACUAGCUACACUCAUGAGAUCCCAUGAAAGGUGUAAGUUGCUAAAGACAGCAAGGACGUGGCCAUGGAAGUCGGAAACAUCUAAGGAGUGUGUAACAACUCACUUGCCGAAGCAACUUGCCCUGAAAAUGGAAGCAGCUCGAGUGUUGAACCUAUACUUCACUCUAGUUAAGUAUCAAGUCGAUCGGUCUUGAUUAGGCCAGACAUCGGGAAUGCUGUAAAAGGCAAUGUUCCGAAAUACAAUAAAUGACGGCAAAGUGAAAUCAAAUUAUAUGUGAUCUGAGGUCUAUAAAAAUGGCCUACAGCGCAACAUAUGCCCACUCGUGUGGUUAUACGCGCAAGUGUUAACCGGGUGGAGCAAAGAGAUACUUGACUGGUAUUCUCCCACUUGGCCGUACCCAUAUCCGCAGCAGGUCUCCAAGGUUAACAGCCUCUGGUCACUUAGGAUAAUGUAGGUAAGGGAAGUCGGCAAAACGGAUCCGUAACUUCGGGAUAAGGAUUGUGAAGAGACAUGAGAGGUGUAGCAUAGGUGGGAGAUAUGCAUCGGGAAACUGGUGUGUAUCGCAAGUGAAAUACCACUACUUUCAUUGUUUCUUUACUGA